CGCGGAGUGGAGCAGUUUGGUAGCUCGCGAGGCUCAUAACCUUGAGGUCAUGGGUUCAAAUCCCGUCUCCGCAA
rnacentral:tRNA from 1 species